rfam:Fukomys damarensis contig153284, whole genome shotgun sequence.
CCAAAGGCUCUUUUCAGAGCCACUCACUGGGUCAAAAAAAAUGGCU